AUACUUUGUGCAUGACUUGUCUUUUUAAUUUUUUUUAUAAUUUUUUCAAAUAAGACGGAUGGUCAAACAUUGGGCACGGAAACCAGGGUUUGUCUUUUUUUUUUUUGGGACGGAGGGAGUAGCUGACUAGAGCAUAGUGACAAUCUACAGAAGUCUCAUUUCUUAUGUUCAAGACCGACACAUAGGAUGCAUAUGGCACUACUUGUAUAGUUACUAUAUGGUAUCGGUCACAAUCUGGGAAAGAAAGGAAUCUAUUAACGGACGGCCAAGAUUCCCUGGCCCACUCAAAACAGCGAAAUGCACAAAGCCUCGAUCGGCGUCUGACAGGCUGUCACGGACGUGGGCUCACAAUCGGGCUUUCAGGCUGAAUGUAUGGCCCAGCCAGAUAGGAAAGACAGCGUUAUAAACCAAAGCCACGCUGCAGCCAUAGCUGAGCACAUGGAGGUGCCACAUUUUGUCACACUAAAUGUUACUCCAUCCGUCUCAUAAUAUAAUAUUUUAAGUUUUUGUUUGCAACGUUUAACCAUUCGUCUUAUUUAAAAAAAAUUUGAAAUUAUUAUUUAUUUUAUUUAUGACUUACUUUAUCAUCCAUGGUACUUUAAGUAUAACUUUUCAUUUUUUAUAUUUGCAAAAAAAAUUUGAAUAAAACGAGUAGUCAAACGUUGCAAAUAAAAACUCAAAAUCCUUUAUAUUAUGGGACGGAGGGAAUACUUACUUUGUUUCAUAUAUUAUAAGUUGUUUUGAUUUUUUAAAGUCAAACUUCUUUAGGUUUGAUCAAAUUUAUAGAAAAACUUAGCAACAUAUCUACAACACCUAA